rnacentral:rRNA from 1 species
UACGGAGGGUGCGAGCGUUGUCCGGAAUCACUGGGCGUAAAGGGCGCGUAGGCGGCGCGGAUAGUCGGCGGUGAAAGCCCGGAGCUCAACUCCGGGUCGGCCGUCGAUACUUCCGGGCUUGAGCACUGUAGAGGCAGAUGGAAUUCCGGGUGUAGCGGUGAAAUGCGCAGAUAUCAGGAAGAACACCCGUGGCUAAGGCGGCUCUCUAGUACGGUACUGACGCUGAGACGCGAAAGCGUGGGGAGCGAACAGG